rnacentral:rRNA from 1 species
GCGCACCAGUCGAGAAUACUUUACAAUGUGCGAAAGCACGAUAAGGGAACUCUGAGUGCCUCCUAAGGGAGGCUGUUCAGGUGUCUAAAAAGCACCUGAAGGAAGGGCUGGGUAAGACCGGUGCCAGCCGCCGCGGUAACACCGGCAGCCCAAGUGGUAGCCACGUUUAUUGGGUCUAAAGCGUCCGUAGCCGGCUGGGUAAGUUCCUUGGGAAAUUUGGCUGCUUAACAGUCAAGCUUUCAGGGAAUACUGCCCGGCUUGGGACCGGGAGAGGUCAGAGGUACUCCAGGGGUAGGGGUGAAAUCCAUUAAUCCUUGGGGGACCACCGGUAGCGAAGGCGUCUGACCAGACCGGGU